GAGAAGGAUUGAAGGUGGCUAGCCGUGUAAUAGAGGCAGCAUUAUUUAAAAAGAAUUUUUGUAAUAAUAUGUUUCGAGGAAAUGAAAUUAUAUGAACGCAAGAAUGACAAUGCCAAUAUUUGAGUCUUUACUUUCAUGACUGUUCAUUCAUAUUGCGGGUUGUGGACUGAAAGCAGCAUUUUUUUCUGAAAAGUGACAAGAUACCGUCUUGUAUUGCACAUCGCAAAUACGGUAAAGGAAAUUAGAUUUUUGGCAAUGACAGCAAUAUACUAAGACUGACAGAUUACUGAGCAAAAGAGCGUUCCAUGCACACAGGGUUAUCAAUGUUUCCGUGCUUGGAUAUGUUGGGCUAAAAUUCGUCGUACCAUCGCACCUUGCAUAAGCAGAGCGUGUGUCUCCAUCUUUAUAAAUUAGAUCUAUCAUUGAUGCAUAGUUUUCUCGAUCUAGGCGAUAAUAAGUUACAAGUUUCCAAUUGAGAAUUUCUUAUUUCUUCCAUCCAACUGAGGACUUGACCUUUGGUGUAUUGCUGGUCACCU